rnacentral:lncRNA from 1 species
UGAUGAGACUCAGCAAACCCUAGAGAUCUCAUCGUCGCUGUUCAAAAUGAUGAACAGAUUCACCAGGGUUCGUAUGUGGGGUAAUCGAUGAGGAUGUUUCGAAUAGAGCAAUGGAAUAUCCAUGAAACUGACUUUACCACUAGAUUACUCCCAGUCCGUGAAUAAUCUUCUGACUGUCUUGACUGAAAUGCGAUUCAUAUUUCAGAUUUUGGCAUGUAUACUCGAUUUUGUUGAUUCGUAUUUUAUUUGCUUUUUCU